AUGGUAACCGCAUGGGCGUUUCCAUGGACGCUGUCUUGCUGAGUUAAUUAAGUAGCUGGCUCGUUUCUUCUCUAAGAGUCGGCUUUCGCGUGCAGGG
rnacentral:SRP_RNA from 1 species